CACAGAAAAUGCAAUCUUGUGGAACCGCAAUAUUUAGCAUUUGGAGUCGAUCCACAGUUGCAAGACGUUUAUGUAAAGCCAGCCAUAGUAUAAACUUAUACCUGGGAUGUAGUUGAGGUUGUAAUGUGAUUGAUUUCCAUUGAACCUUGGUGCAUUGAGGAAGAAGCUGUCUAUAGAGCUUGUUAAUGCUGAAAGACUCUCCCUGUUGCACCUGCCUCAGUCUGUUAUCUAGAUUUCCA
rnacentral:lncRNA from 1 species